GAAUUAAUCCUCGCAAUAUUUAAGUUGUAAAUAAUUCAAGUUAGAAUUAUUGUUAAGUAACUCAGGCUAAUUGUGACACUUGGUAUCCGGACCCGACGAUCAGGUAAGGUAUAGGAUCUUAUAGUUGCCUUGUAUUGUGAGAGUGUUUAAUUGCUCUAUAUCUACUUUCUUAAGGUCUUAAUCAAUUCUCCACUUUAUUGAUCUUUUUUGUGAGGAUUUACUUUAAGGUUUUGGGUAGAAAUCCUUAAGAGGAAG
rnacentral:lncRNA from 1 species